rnacentral:tRNA from 1 species
ACGGGCAUGGCGGAAUUGGUAGACGCGUUAGGUUUAGAUUCUAAUGAGUGAUAUCAUGAGAGUUCAAAUCUCUCUGCCCGUA